AAUUUUUCUCAAGGUCCAAUUUACUGAAUUGAGUCUACUAAGGUUACUGAGAGGACAUUGCAAAUUGGCAAAGCAGAAGACGAUUCUGAUGGUCUUUUAUGAUUAUCUAAUUCUGUAUAAGGAUGAUUUUCUCUUAAGUUAUCAGUUAAGAGUCUAUUAGCUCAUGAAAUUAACUAAUAACAUGAUGUAAAGUUAUAACCAAUCCUCUUGUAAAUAGGCUGCAUUCUCGUACAGUUCAUAAAGAAAAACCAGGUCAAACUGCACGCAUCACACAAUCAACUUUUUAGGAUAGUAGGUCUAAAGUAGUUACAUGUGAGUCUGUGACGAUAUAUUUCUAUGUACAGAAGCAGGUUAGUGAGACCAGAACACAUAAUGUACCCCGGUCUAGCAUAAACUCCUUGGAACAAGCAUGCAGUUAUGUCUUCAGUCAACAGACUGCUGAUGCGAGGAGAUAGAUGACUUCUAAUAAUUCCUGUUUAGUGCCGAGCUGUAAUGCAUAUUUUUCAGACGCCACAAUCUGGAGACCCUUGCGCUGGAGUUCCAAUACAAUCUACAUAAGCUUUAAUUUACGCUGGCCACGCUCGUGCGCUUCUUUAACCCUUCAAGAAUACGUAUUUUGGUGACAUGAAGCAAUUAGGAUACACACAUUUGCCUCAUUGGAGUUAGAAGCCUUGCAAAUCGGAGGGGAACAUGUGCUCUCACCAGAGUUCCUUUCUCAGUGUAUUCCUAUAAAAUCAAAAAGAAUAAAGGAUGAAAAUUCUGUCUUUAAUGUUUAU
rnacentral:lncRNA from 1 species